AAUCCUUGUCAGCAUUUUGUCUAAGAUCAAGUGUAGUAUCUGUCCUUACCAGUUGGUAUGUCCUUAUCUGGGGACUGUGUAUAAGUUGAUUUUUGGAUGCCAUAGGGAAGCAUUUGCCUAAUGGUAAUAUUGCUGCACUAUUGAUCUAGACACUCAGAUAAUGCUCUGAGGACCCGGGAUUAAAUCC